rnacentral:tRNA from 1 species
GCGGGAAUGGCGGAAUUGGCAGACGCACUUGAUUUAGGCUCAAGAUAUUGAGGGUUCGACUCCCUUUUUCCGUACAA